GGGCUGGGGCUCAGUGGUAGAGCACUUGCUCGCAUGUGCAAGGCCCCGGGUUCGAUCCUCAGCACCUCA
rnacentral:tRNA from 1 species